GCAGGGUUAUUCUUUUGAAUGAAUUCUAGUGGUCAUUUGGUCAUGAUUUUUUUUAUUUUGUUUUAUUCUCUAAUUUAAUUUUCAAAAAUCAUGUUUGAUUAGUCAUUAUAGAUCUCAUAAUAGAGCCUUUAAGUAAUAACUACUAAUUAUUAUAGAGCUUGUAGAUACGUAAUUUUGUCCCUCUCCAAAUUAUUUUUUACUUUUUUUUACCCCGUCUUACCACGUACCUUUACCCAUGUGAUAAUUUCCACAUAAUAACAAAUCCAACAAACUCUUAACCAUUUUGACACCCUCACCCAUUUAAUAAUUUACCCCACAAGAAUCUAAAUAACAAACUCACAACAAAAAAUAACAAUCCCUCUAACUAAUUUUGACACCUCACACCCAUACCCCGCCCCCUACCCCAUACCCAUGUUUGCAGUUCUCUUUUUAAGAUAUAGACGCACAACAAAAAACCAUCGGAGGGGGGAAUAUUUUUUCAUCCAUUCAUAGCAACAUACAAUAGGGGAGCUCACGGGAAUCAAACCAAAACCAUUCACCAUCAAAACACACACUCACACACCACAAAUUCACCUGGCACACACACAGCUUUUACUCACAAUAUACACACAAUUGCACUCACACAUCAAUCCUCACUGAUCUACACACAUUAACGCACAUAGUAACACAUGGGAGAGCAAAGUCAUGAGAAUCGGAGAGAGCUGAGCGGGGAAAAGGGAAGAUUAAGAGAAAAAUAAUAGAGAAUCAGUGAAAAGGCAAGGAGAAAAUACGUGAACAAAAAGAGAAGGAGAACAUCUUGGUCCAGAUUUUUUUGGUGAAGGAUUCGCCAAAAUCAUCAACCUUUUUCGACCAAAACUCCAUUAAUACUGGUCAACUCUGGCAAAACCCGACCCCUUCCUGUUGUCCACCACCAAAACCCCAAGUAAGUCCGCCCCAAAUCGACUCAUCCACCAUCAGAAAUUAGUAGUGAAACCCACCAAAAAACAACAUAAACCGACUCCCAUUCUCAAACUUUCAAUGAAACCUACUGGAUAAUUAUAAUACCAGUCGAUCUGGAAGUCAAUAUAGAUCAGAAAAUGAUCGGGUUUGGGCAAAACAAAGUUUGAGGUCGAAUUGUUGAUUUGGGGGGAUAUAUUGAGGCUUAUUUAAGUUACGAGUUUCGGUUGGCAAAAAUUAGUGAAGCCUUUACCGAGGUUGGGAUUAUUCAUCAUCAAGGUUUGAUUUAAGCUUUCCAGUGCGAACUCCGUCUUGUUUAACUUGGUAAUACAUGAAUAAAAGCAGCAUUAAGAGAAUGCCCCAAAGUAUCAUGUAUGCAAAGGAGGCUCGUGAUCAAGGCCCGAGGCAUCGGGUAAAGCAUAGCUAGCAUAGUUAGAAUAGUUUAUGUUUAUUUCAGUAUAUUUUAUUUUGGACUGUAAUAAUUGGAUUGGACAUUUUUUUUGGACUUGGUUUGUUUUUUUGAUUGAUUGGUUGUUUUGUGUGUUUUAUUUGGUUUAUACAUUCAUAGUGUCAUACUAGCCGAUAUAAUCCACGAAGCGACCAUGAUCGAACUAUAGGAUUGAGGGGUGCCUAACACCUUCUGCUUAAUCAACAGAAUUUCUUAGCCAGAAUUUCUGUUCGCUGAUCAGUUUUUAGAGUCAAACUAUUUUGAAAAAGGCUUUUCAAAGGUGACUUGGUACACCUGACCUAUGUCAAGUGAAGACCCUAAAUUCAAAUGAAAAAGAAUCUUUUUCGAAACAAAUUUCAUUUUUUGUCACUUAAUAAUAAAAAUCCCUUUCAAACUUAAAAUGAUAAUCUUUUUUGGUAAAAAAAAAAGGUGUGACAACUCUGGCGACUCUGCUGGGAAACUUUUCAAGAUUCGAGCUUAUUUUUGGAGUUGUGUCGGCUUAGUUUGACACUAUGGGUGUAUAGACGUUGUUUGUGUUAUUAUUUGUAUUUGUUUUAUCAUUGUUGAUCGUCUACUUGCUACGUGUUUAUAGUUUUUCC